rnacentral:rRNA from 1 species
UACGUAGGGGGGCAAGCGUUGUCCGGAAUCAUUGGGCGUAAAGCGCGUGUAGGCGGCCCGGUAAGUCCGCUGUGAAAGUCGGGGGCUCAACCCUCGAAUGCCGGUGGAUACUGUCGGGCUAGAGUGCGGGAGAGGCGAGUGGAAUUCCUGGUGUAGCGGUGAAAUGCGCAGAUAUCAGGAGGAACACCAAUUGCGAAGGCAGCUCGCUGGAACGUAACUGACGCUGAGAACGCGAAAGCGUGGGGAGCAAACAGG